rnacentral:rRNA from 1 species
UACAGAGGUCUCAAGCGUUGUUCGGAUUCAUUGGGCGUAAAGGGUGCGUAGGUGGCGCCGUAAGUCAGGUGUGAAAUUUCGGAGCUUAACUCCGAAAACUGCAUUUUGAUACUGCGGUGCUUUGAGGACUGGAGAGGAGACUGGAAUUUACGGUGUAGCAGUGAAAUGCGUAGAGAUCGUAAGGAAGACCAGUGGCGAAGGCGGGUCUCUGGACAGUUCCUGACACUGAGG